UACGAAGGGGGCUAGCGUUGCUCGGAAUUACUGGGCGUAAAGCGCACGUAGGCGGCUUUCUAAGUCGGGGGUGAAAUCCUGGAGCUCAACUCCAGAACUGCCUUCGAUACUGGAAAGCUCGAGUCCGGGAGAGGUGAGUGGAACUGCGAGUGUAGAGGUGAAAUUCGUAGAUAUUCGCAAGAACACCAGUGGCGAAGGCGGCUAUCUGGACGGUUUCUGACACUAAGACUCGAAAGCGUGGGGAGCAAACAGG
rnacentral:rRNA from 1 species